GAAUCUAUUGCCUUGUGUUCUCCUGUCUCUGGGACAGAGCCCAGGGAGCUUGUUUCAGGCAAGGAGGAGCAAGGCAAUCAUUUACUAUGGGGAGCCCCAGAGGCAGGAGCUGCCGGACCUGACUCCUCGGCACACACUCUGAGGAUGGACACGGAUCCUGGCCUGGCAGAGGGAAAGUGAAAGGGGGAUGAAUGUCACAAGAGAAAACACGAGCUGUGAGUUGAGAAGAGAGAAAGAUCAAUUUCAGAGCUUGAGGGGACAGGUGUUGCAGGU